UACAGCAAAAAGCACACUAUUCGAAAGAAUAGGUCGCAAAACUACAGGGGCUACCGCUUGUGUUUACACAGGUUAUGCCAGCCAGUUGCCUGU
rnacentral:ncRNA from 1 species